GGUAAGGUGGCCGAGCAGGCGUCGGAUUGUAGCUCCGUUUACAGGGUAGACCCUUCUUAUCA
rnacentral:tRNA from 1 species